rnacentral:rRNA from 1 species
GAUGAACGCUGGCGGCGUGCCUAAUACAUGCAAGUCGAGCGAACAGGCGAGGAGCUUUCUCCUCUGACGUUAGCGGCGGACGGGUGAGUAACACGUGGAUAACCUACCUAUAAGACUGGGAUAACUUCGGGAAACCGGAGCUAAUACCGGAUAAUAUAUUGAACCGCAUGGUUCAAUAGUGAAAGACGGUUUUGCUGUCACUUAUAGAUGGAUCCGCGCCGCAUUAGCUAGUUGGUAAGGUAACGGCUUACCAAGGCAACGAUGCGUAGCCGACCUGAGAGGGUGAUCAGCCACACUGGAACUGAGACACGGUCCAGACUCCUACGGGAGGCAGCAGUAGGGAAUCUUCCGCAAUGGGCGAAAGCCUGACGGAGCAACGCCGCGUGAGUGAUGAAGGUCUUCGGAUCGUAAAACUCUGUUAUUAGGGAAGAACAAAUGUGUAAGUAACUAUGCACGUCUUGACGGUACCUAAUCAGAAAGCAACGGCUAACUACGUG